UACGUAGGGUGCAAGCGUUGUCCGGAAUUAUUGGGCGUAAAGAGCUCGUAGGUGGCGUGUCGCGUCUGCCGUGAAAGCCCAUGGCUUAACUGUGGGUCUGCGGUGGAUACGGGCAGGCUGGAGGCUGGUAGGGGCAAGCGGAAUUCCUGGUGUAGCGGUGAAAUGCGCAGAUAUCAGGAGGAACACCGGUGGCGAAGGCGGAUCUCUGGGCCGAUACUGACGCUGAGGAGCGAAAGCGUGGGGAGCGAACAGG
rnacentral:rRNA from 1 species